CACGUAGGGCGCAAGCGUUGUCCGGAAUUAUUGGGCGUAAAGAGCUCGUAGGCGGUCUGUUGCGUCCGCUGUGAAAACUCGGGGCUUAACCCCGAGCCUGCAGUGGAUACGGGCAGACUAGAGGUAGGUAGGGGAGAAUGGAAUUCCCGGUGUAGCGGUGAAAUGCGCAGAUAUCGGGAGGAACACCAGUGGCGAAGGCGGCUUUCUGGCCCGUUCUUGACGCUGAGGCGCGAAAGCUAGGGUAGCAAACGGG
rnacentral:rRNA from 1 species